rnacentral:rRNA from 1 species
UCCUGGCUCAGGACGAACGCUGGCGGCGUGCCUAACACAUGCAAGUCAAGGCGGUAGCAAUACCGACUGGCGCACGGGUGCGGAACACGUAGGCAAUCUGCCCAUCAGGGGAGAACAACUCACCGAAAGGUGAGCUAAAUCUCCGUAAUGUCUUACUAUGGCAUCAUAGUUUGACCAAUCUUUCUGAUGGAUGAGCCUGCGUCUGAUUAGCUAGUUGGUAGUGUAAUGGACUACCAAGGCUACGAUCAGUAGCUGGUCUGAGAGGAUGAUCAGCCACAUUGGGACUGAGACACGGCCCACACUCCUACGGGAGGCAGCAGUGAGGAAUAUUGCUCAAUGGACGAAAGUCUGAAGCAGCAACGCCGCGUGAGGGAUGAAGGUGCUCUGCAUUGUAAACCUCUGUAGUCGGGGACAAAAAACAGGUUACUACCUGUCUGAUGGUACCCGAAAAGUAAGGAUCGGCUAACUACGUGCCAGCAGCCGCGGUAAUACGUAGGAUCCAAGCGUUGUCCGGAUUUACUGGGUGUAAAGGGUGCGCAGGCGGACUUGUUAGUCAGAGGUGAAAUCUCACUGCUCAACAGUGAAACUGCCUUUGAUACUGCAGGUCUUGAAUCCAGAAGAGAGUUGUGGAAUUCCG